rnacentral:rRNA from 1 species
AUUACACAAAUAUGAAGGCGGGCUGGAACCUCUCGGGGUUACAGCCUUGCUGAAUUAUUCACCCUUGUCUUUUGCGUACUUCUUGUUUCCUUGGUGGGUUCGCCCACCACUAGGACAAACAUAAACCUUUUGUAAUUGCAAUCAGCGUCAGUAACAAAUUAAUAAUUACAACUUUCAACAACGGAUCUCUUGGUUCUGGCAUCGAUGAAGAACGCAGCGAAAUGCGAUAAGUAGUGUGAAUUGCAGAAUUCAGUGAAUCAUCGAAUCUUUGAACGCACAUUGCGCCCUUUGGUAUUCCAAAGGGCAUGCCUGUUCGAGCGUCAUUUGUACCCUCAAGCUUUGCUUGGUGUUGGGCGUCUUGUCUCUAGCUUUGCUGGAGACUCGCCUUAAAGUAAUUGGCAGCCGGCCUACUGGUUUCGGAGCGCAGCACAAGUCGCACUCUCUAUCAGCAAAGGUCUAGCAUCCAUUAAGCCUUUUUUUCAACUUUUGACCUCGGAUCAGGUAGGGAUACCCGCUGAACUUAAGCAUAUCAAAAGGCGGGAGGAAA